rnacentral:misc_RNA from 1 species
GUGAGUCAUCGAAUCUUUGAACGCACAUUGCGCUUCGUGGUAUUCCGCGGAGCAUGCUCGUUUCAGAAUCAUUAAAAACUCACAUGCUGCAUGAUGUCGAUAAAAAGACAUUGUUUGCAGGAUGUUGGAUUUGGGCACUUUGUGUUAGGCAAUUGCCUCAAAAUUAGUGAGUGUGUGACUUAUUGUAAAUUGAUUUGGACAACCCUCAGUGCAACAGCUUAGAUUCACUCCGGGCCCAAAUUGAGAGUCACCGCCUAUCAAUAACACAGAGCCGAUCAGCAGGAAUGCUCCGGCUCUGAC